AGGCACAAAUGGUUCGCCCGGUCCAUUAUUAUUAUUAUUGUGGGUACGACCCAAUUAUACCUUUUCUACGUCUAACGCAGACAGACAGGUCCCAACGUGUAUAAGUACACAUCGCAAUAUUAUAAGUAAAACAUUUCAUAACAUAAAUUAAACAAGAGCAGCUGAUGACAAUGAUUGGAUUUCGAUUAAUACCGCUCAGACCAGUGGCGUCGCCAGAAUUUUU